GAAGAAGAAGAAGAAGAACAGGCUUAGCGAGUUCUUGACCUGACGCCGACCCUGGUAUAACCCCUCUGAUCUCUCUGUGAACCUGGGCCCCUCAGUAGGGGCCCCACAACGAUCAGGCUGAUGGGGAUCUGACUCUGCGUCCAUUAAAGCCCAGUCAGGAAGACACAAACCAUUUAUCAGCCUGUCAGCUCUUGCCGCCGGUGUUUUUUCAGACAGUUAGGAUUUACUCAGACUGUGGAGAGCUGGCACUGCUCUCUGAUAGGCCGUAUCUGCUCCACACACAGCAGAAACUGGUGAUCUGUGGGACUCCUCUGUUCAACCUGCUCGGAAAUGUGGACUGAUGGCGCCAUCUAGUGCACAAGCAUGUAGUCUGUUUUUUUUUCUCACCAGGCAUGCUGUAAAAACAAAAAAAUAUAUAUUAAUAAAAAAAAUGAGUUUUCCAAAUACAUGUACAAAUAGUUUUUUUAAAAAAGCGUUAGAAGAUGAGCACAGGUUAUGUUUAAGAAGAACUCAGUGGAUCAAGCAUAAAAUGCAAAAUUUUCACAAUAACUUUAUUUAAAUAAAAUAAAAUGGCAGUUUUUAAAGCUGGGUAAAGAAAGAGAGUUUUUUUAUGUCAUGUCUAAAUGGUAAAGCUGUUAUUACAGUGUCUAUAGAAAAACUUAACUUUGUUCGAAAAGUACAAACUGUUUUCCAUAACUACAAUGACCAUCCAAGCUUUUGGACUUUAUAAUCUCUUAAACUAAAUUGUGAUUUACAGAAGGAAUAAAUGAAGUGCAGCUCAUCUCGGAGUGUUUGUCGCUUUUUGUUG